AUUUUUUAUGAGAUGUAAUUCCAUGUCAUUGUCCUUGUCACGGUGGAAUUACUAACUUGCGGUGGAUUGUAGGAUUAACCCUCUCUGUGCAUUUGGGCACCCCUCGAGUAUCAGACCCACAUGUCUGCUUGGCCAUGCCCUUGAGCCUCAGACCCACGUGUCUGCUUGGCUGUGCCCUCAAGCGUCAGACUCGAAUGUCUGCUUGACUGUGCCCUCACUCCUGGAACUCGCUGUCUCUGAACAGAAGUAUUUGUCUUUGCUCCUUGUCCGCUACCUUACAGUCUCCGUGGAUGGCACCAUCUCUCUGCCACCUGCACUGGGAACUGGGUCCCCAUCCCUGCCAGGCUCUCCUCUGGGACCACUGCCCUUCCCACAUUGCAAGCUCCCUGUCCCCUCCCUGUCCCCUCACCCACUCCGUGGCUCCACUUUGGGCCUUCACGGUGCCACUCCUUUUCUGGGCUGCUCCCAGAGUGACCUCAACGUGCCACUUCUCUUCUUGACUCCUCUUGGGGGACUCAGGAUGGCACAGAGGGUCCCUCCCCUCGCCUGCCUUCUGCCUGCCGCUUCUCCCACCUGUACCCAGCCACACGGGACCACGUGCAGCCCGCAGGAGACUGUGCUGCUCAAAACUGCACCUGGGCACCUGCACGGGCGUCAGCCCCGUCACCGCUGCCUCGUCCCCUGUGAGGCCUGCCUCCAGCCAUCCUCUUAGCCCUCCCUGUCCCAGCCUCAGUAGGCUCCUGACUGUCGAGGAACCUAGAAGAGCACCUGUACUGUGGGGAAGUUUCACUGCCAGCCGCCCGGCCUCCCUCUCCUUAUCAGGGAGCCCUGGAGGGUGGGGGCAGGUCACAUUUGUCGGCAGCUCUGAGCUAGCACCGUGCCAGCCACUGUAGUUGUUCAGUGUUUGUCAUAGGGAUGAGGAUUUUUCUUAGAAAAGCUUAUAUUUGAUCUUCAGUUUUUGUGAAAAGUUGGGUUUCAUUCGUCAAAGGAAAUUCCCCAGGUGGUGAUGACUUUCAGCCUCAUACCACCCUGGGCUGGGUCAUGCUGAGACUGCGGGACCUGGGAAGCAGGCUGAGCCCCAGGAGGUCAGGAGACCGGCCAGGCAGACCCAGGCCCACGAGAAGGCCACGCCUUGAGGACGGCUCCCUCCUCUGGUUCCAUGAGGCCGGGACUGCGUGGCAGAGGAUGGAGGAGGGGUGGGGCCUUGUCUUCAAGUUGUCUCUUGUGUUGUCAGCUUCCCCAGAAGCCAUUGUGGUGAGGGGCCACUGUGACUAAUGACGCCGAUUAGAAGCAGCGUCUUGUCUGCAGUUUUCAGAGUGGUAACUACAGAAAGAAAGAAGCAGAGGUUAAAUAAUAAACAUGUUAGUUCUCUGUUUUUUAUCAAAUUAGGUGUCACAAUUGGGUGGGGGUGAGAUUAUGGUUCUUUUUUGACAACGGUGCCUUGAGAUUCCUAAGUGACUGGGCUUCCUGUCCCCAUUGCUCCCCGCUGCUUCUGGUAAAUGGGUUUUAAUGAACUAAGCAGCUGGCUGAGACUUCCUGGAGUUAGACUGGAGGUCUCCACCCUGACGCAGCAGGAAGCCGUGCCCCCACCUGACCACCGUGCCACGGUGGGAGAGGAAAGGGGUUCUUGGGAGCAUCCACAUGGCUUUUCUCUUUGAUGAUGGCAAAUUCUCUGACAAAUUUAACGAUAGUGUUGGGUGGAGACUGGGGGCUCCUGAUUGGAGGGGGAAGCCUCUCUCGUGUUUGCUUGGCUAAGGGGUUAUCAGAUGUGCACCUGAGACACGCUGCUUCUGGGUUCCUUGUAAUCAUCACUUUAUGAAUUUGUGGAUUGCUGUUCUAGGCAAGCUGUAUGGGAGAGGUUCGACUGAUGAUAAGGGCCCGGUGGCCGGCUGGAUAAACGCCCUGGAAGCGUAUCAGAAAACAGACCAGGUAUGCCCCCCACGCUGACUUCUGCCUGAGUCCUGGGUUCAUCUGAGCCAUACAAAGGCUCUCUGUUCACACAACAGCUUGUAAAGCUCACAGGAAAAGACAAGACAAGCGUCCCCCAGCCCUUAUCAGCACAGAUGACUUGGAUGUAAAGUACAGGUUUGUUUUCCAGCUUUAGGAAACAUUAAAAGUUUAAUUGUUUUACAGCUGCUUAAAGGUCACAAUAUUGGCGGCUCAGCAUGAUUUUUGCCACCGCAUGAAAUGUGACUUUUCAGUCCCUGACUGUCUCUGUGAGUGUGGUCCCUUGCCAGAACGUAGUGCAGCUUUGUGACAUCACACAGGCCCCUCACUGUCUCUGUGUGGUUUACGUCCUCCUAAAAAUAAAUUCUGAUUUUUAAAAUGUAUUCUCUGGCUGGGAGUGGUGGCUCACCCCUGUAAUUCCUUUGGGAGGAAUUAAUUUGGGAGGCUGAGGUGGGUGGAUCACUUGAGGUCAGGAGUUCGAGACCAGCCUGGCCAACAUGGUGAAACCCCGUCUCUACUCAAAAUACAAAAUUAGCUGGGCAUGGUGGUGGGCACCUGUAAUCCCAGCUCCUGGGAGGCUGAGGCAAGAAAAUUGCUUGACCCAGGGAGGCAGAGGUUGCAGUGAGCCGAGAUCAUGCCACUGCACUCCAGCCUGGGUGACAGAGCGAGACUCUGUCUC
rnacentral:sRNA from 1 species